GCAAAAACUGCAGCCACGAAAAACUAUUGGGCACAGAGGACACAAAAGAUGGCCUCCUGCGUAUCCAGCCUACAACUACCUGAAGCCUGUGGACGAUGAUCCUGUGGAAAUGGUCGAAGCACACGAUGUACAGGAGAAGCCAACAUUCAGGUCAAAGUUCAUCCACUACACUCUUGUCUUUCUCAAAGUGGCUCUGUGGAUUAUCUUUGCAUGGAUUCUAUCUCACCUCCACCUGGGCGCUCCAUGUUUCCUCCUGGUGCUGACCUUUUGGUUGUAUUCGAAGCCGAUGCACACAGCUCUGAAAUGGGCUAAGAGGCGUCUGAGAGGCUGAGCAGAACAGCAUAAUAAUUAAAGAAUACCUCUGCAUUUCAGUCA